rnacentral:rRNA from 1 species
GCUCGUAGUUGGAUUUCGAGGCCUGGGUGGCUGUCACCCUAUGGGUAGGCGGGCCGCCUGGGUCUCUUAUUUCCGGGGACGGCGUCACUUUUAAUUAAGGGGCGUUCGGACGCGGAUCGUUUACUUUGAAAAAAUUAGAGUGUUCAAAGCAGGCCUUCGCUUGAAUACAUUAGCAUGGAAUAAUGGAAUAGGACUCUGGGCCUAUUUUGUUGGUUUCUGGGACUAGAGUAAUGAUUAAUAGGGACAGUUGGGGGCGUUCAUAUUCCGAUGUCAGAGGUGAAAUUCUUGGAUUUUCGGAAGAUGAACUUCUGCGAAAGCAUUCGCCAAGGAUGUUUUCAUUAAUCAAGAACGAAAGUUAGGGGAUCGAAGACGAUCAGAUACCGUCGUAGUCUUAACCAUAAACUAUGCCGACUCAGGAUCAGUGGAAGUUCGAUUUCGACUCCAUUGGCACUGUGUGAGAAAUCAAAGUUUUUGGGUUCCGGGGGGAGUAUGGUCGCAAGGCUGAAACUUAAAGGAAUUGACGGAAGGGCACACCAGAAGUGGAGCCUGCGGCUUAAUUUGACUCAACACGGGGAAACUUACCAGGUCCAGACACAGUAAGGAUUGACAGAUUGAGAGCUCUUUCUUGAUUCUGUGGGUGGUGGUGCAUGGCCGUUCUUAGUUGGUGGAGUGAUUUGUCUGGUUAAUUCCGAUAACGAACGAGACCUCAGCCUGCUAACUA